CGACGUAGGUAACCUGCCUUGUAGCGGGGGAUAACUAUUGGAAACGAUAGCUAAUACCGCAUAACAAUGGAUGACACAUGUCAUUUAUUUGAAAGGGGCAAAUGCUCCACUACAAGAUGGACCUGCGUUGUAUUAGCUAGUAGGUGAGGUAACGGCUCACCUAGGCGACGAUACAUAGCCGACCUGAGAGGGUGAUCGGCCACACUGGGACUGAGACACGGCCCAG
rnacentral:rRNA from 1 species